UGGGGGAAACCCUGAUGCAGCAACGCCGCGUGGAGGAUGAAGGUCUUCGGAUUGUAAACUCCUUUGAUCGGGGAUGAAUAAUGACAGUACCCGAAAAACAAGCCACGGCUAACUACGUGCCAGCAGCCGCGGUAAUACGUAGGUGGCAAGCGUUGUCCGGAAUUAUUGGGCGUAAAGGGCGCGUAGGCGGUUCUUUAAGUCAGAUGUGAAAUCCCGAGGCUCAACCUCGGGCGUGCAUUUGAAACUGGGGGACUAGAGUGCAGGAGAGGUAAGUGGAAUUCCUAAUGUAGCGGUGAAAUGCGUAGAUAUUAGGAGGAACACCAGUGGCGAAGGCGACUUACUGGACUGUAACUGACGCUGAGGCGCGAAAGCGUGGGGAGCAAACAGGAUUAGAUACCCUGGUAGUCCACGCUGUAAACGAUGGAUACUAGGUGUGGGAGGUAUCGACCCCUUCCGUGCCGCAGUAAACGCAAUAAGUAUCCCGCCUGGGGAGU
rnacentral:rRNA from 1 species